UACGUAGGGUGCAAGCGUUGUCCGGAAUUAUUGGGCGUAAAGAGCUCGUAGGCGGUCUGUCGCGUCGGCUGUGAAAACCUGGGGCUUAACUCCGGGCUUGCAGCCGAUACGGGCAGACUAGAGUUCGGCAGGGGAGACUGGAAUUCCUGGUGUAGCGGUGAAAUGCGCAGAUAUCAGGAGGAACACCGAUGGCGAAGGCGGGUCUCUGGCCGGUACCGACGCUGAGGAGCGAAAGCGUGGGGAGCGAACAGG
rnacentral:rRNA from 1 species